GACGUAGGGCGCGAGCGUUGUUCGGAAUUACUGGGCGUAAAGCGCACGUAGGCGGAUCGAUCAGUCAGGGGUGAAAUCCCAGGGCUCAACCCUGGAACUGCCUUUGAUACUGUCGAUCUGGAGUAUGGAAGAGGUGAGUGGAAUUCCGAGUGUAGCGGUGAAAUGCGCAGAUAUCAGGAGGAACACCGGUGGCGAAGGCGGUUCUCUGGGCCAUUACUGACGCUGAGGAGCGAAAGCGUGGGGAGCGAACAGG
rnacentral:rRNA from 1 species